UGCAGUCGAGCGAAUCUGAGGGAGCUUGCUCCCAAGAUUAGCGGCGGACGGGUGAGUAACACGUGGGCAACCUGCCUGUAAGACUGGGAUAACUCCGGGAAACCGGGGCUAAUACCGGAAAAUAUCUAUGUAUACAUAUAAGUAGAUUGAAAGAUGGUUCUGCUAUCACUUACAGAUGGGCCCGCGGCGCAGUAGCUAGUUGGUGAGGUAACGGCUCACCAAGGCGACCAUGCGUAGCCGACCUGAGAGGGUGAUCGGCCACACUGGGACUGAGACACGGCCCAGACUCCUACGGGAGGCAGCAUUAGGGAAUCUUCCGCAAUGGACGAAAGUCUGACGGAGCAACGCCUCGUGAGUGAUGAAGGUUUUCGGAUCGUAAAACUCUAUUGUUAGGGAAGAACAAGUAUCGGAGUAACUGCCGGUACCUUGACGGUACCUAACCAGAAAGCCACGGCUAACUACGUGCCAGCAGCCGCGGUAAUACGUAGGUGGCAAGCGUUGUCCGGAAUUAUUGGGCGUAAAGCGCGCGCAGGCGGUUCCUUAAGUCUGAUGUGAAAGCCCACGGCUCAACCGUGGAGGGUCAUUGGAAACUGGGGAACUUGAGUGCAGAAGAGGAAAGUGGAAUUCCCAGUGUAGCGGUGAAAUGCGUAGAGAUUUGGAGGAACACCAGUGGCGAACGCGACUUUCUGGUCUGUAACUGACGCUGAGGCGCGAAAGCGUGGGGAGCAACAGGAUUAGAUACCCUGGUAGUCCACGCCGUAACGAUGAGUGCUAGUGUUAGAGGGUUUCGCCCUUUACUGCUGCAGCAACGCAUAGCACUCCGCCUGGGGAGUACGACGCACGUUGAACUCAAGGAUUGA
rnacentral:rRNA from 1 species